rnacentral:rRNA from 1 species
CCUACGGGGGGCUGCAGUAGGGAAUAUUGCGCAAUGGGGGAAACCCUGACGCAGCAACGCCGCGUGAGUGAGGAAGGUCUUCGGAUUGUAAAACUCUUUUAUUAGGGAAAAAUGUCUUAGUGGCUAAUAUCCAUUAAGAGUGAUGGUACCUAAGGAAUAAGGACCGGCUAACUUCGUGCCAGCAGCCGCGGUAAUACGAAGGGUCCAAGCGUUGUUCGGAAUCAUUGGGCGUAAAGCGCGCGCAGGCGGAUCAGCAAGUCAGGUGUGAAAUCUCG